UACGGGGGGGGCAAGCGUUGUUCGGAAUUACUGGGCGUAAAGGGUUCGUAGGUGGCUUGCUCAGUCAGACGUGAAAUCCCUCAGCUUAACUGGGGAACUGCGUCUGAUACUGGCGAGCUUGAGUGCAGGAGAGGAACGCGGAAUUCCACGUGUAGCGGUGAAAUGCGUAGAUAUCGAGAGGAACACCUGCGGCGAAGGCGGGUUGCUGGGCUGACACUGACGCUGAGGCGCGAAAGCUAGGGGAGCGAACGGG
rnacentral:rRNA from 1 species